GUAGCUUUGUGUCUAUGGAAGUCCCUUGGAUGGAUCCCAGACCGACCCAUGGAUCCCAUGACCUUUCCUUGCCUGUGACUGUUGGUGACCCCUCUGAUGUCUGCGCUGCCUGCGCUGUGGCUGCCCUCAGUUCCUGCCUCAUUCCUUGCUUGGUGCACCUCCAGGUUUGCUCCCUGACAGCAGCAGCCGAAAUUUGGGCAGGCUUUGCCCAUGUACCCCUUGAGCAGCUGGACUGCGCUGUGUCCAUGCCCCUCACUCCCAUCCCUAGACCUGUGACUGAGUGCGGGCAGUCUGGCCCUGUUUCUUUCUCCCAUCCCGAGCCCCGGUGCUGCAAUGUUGCCUGAAGCGGGGUGCUGGGGGAGAACCGAGGGGGAUCAGGAGCUGCGCUCACCCUCCUGGAACCGGGAGGGAGGGUGCUGUUCCUGUUGACAACGGGGUUCGCUCCGAGCAGAAGGGAGGCGGUGGGAGGCCGGGCCGGGCCGGGCCGGGCGGUGCAGCCCGGGAAGCGGGGGAAGCGGUUCCCGGCCGGGGCUCUCCCUCACCUGCCCCCGGCUCUGCAGGGAAGGGCAGGGGGCGCUUCGCCCCCCGCCUACGCCGGCUCUUUCUGCCGCUCGCCGCUCGCCGUAGCCGGGGGAGAGCUAGGUUAUGCCAUUGGCCUUUUAAGAGAAGCAGCUGCCUCACUGCUCCAGUGCCAGGUUCAUCACAGUGCUGUCCAUAUCCUCAGCCAUGGUGACCACUCAGAUCCUCCUGCACUGGAGCACUGCUGUGUGCACUCAUGGGAUGCCAGGUCAUUCCCGCUCUGAUCCCUUCUUGCAUCUUCCAUUUCUCCGUGUGACAGUGAUGGUUCCAGACAGCAUGGGACUGCCAGCUUUUUGGAUUGGAGAAGUGCAUGCUCCACGUGGCUCUGAAUACCUACUGUUCCUGCAAAACCUGGAGCAGUCUUGGUGCCUACAGAAAUCAGACCAGAUGUGCUCUCCUGGGAGCAGGGGGAGCCAGAUGCUGCAGACAGGUAACAUGACCAGCAACAGGUACUGCAGGAUACUGCUGCAGCUUCCUAGUCCUAGUACUACCCUCACAGAUACCAAGUGGCAUCCAUCAGGAUCUGAAUGUUCCUGUGUUGGGCAGCUGAGAAGAGAUGGCAGUGGAAGCCAGAGGUGGCCUCUCUCCAGUUUCAUAAGUACUGAUGACCACAUUUUCUUCCUGUGUCUGUUGAAGGCAAUGACCACUAUAUCUGCUCCAAAACAGCUCCCCAUGGACAGAUACAGGGAGCUUCUAAUGACAAAGAGGAAUUUGAUGUUCAUACACAAUAUGCUGGCAUGUAAACCCACCAAGGAUGACCAGAAGAAAUGGUACCUGACUGUCUUCAUAAAUUUCCUCAAGUGCCUGAAACGGCUAAGGGAAAAAAACAAACCAACUAAAGAAAGUUACAAAACUCCAGCAGCAAAAGUCUUCUUUGGAUGCAACUACUUGUUCUCUUAUCAAAGAGUGAACUGCAGGUGCCAGCUGUCAGCUGGAAAGACUUUGCUGUGGUGUGGUGUGGGGAUGGGAGCAAGUUGCAUUCCAGGGCUUCAGAAUUGGCUGAUCUGGACUCUCCACUUCAAAAUAUCUUAACUGUGCUUUUCAAUAUGCACACAAUGCUGUGAGCUAGAACAAAACGAUCUUGUUGUGUUACCAUAGAGACACCCAGGGUCUAGGAAGGGUUCCUGCUUGAAAUCUUACUGUUAAAGGGACAAGGGCUGUUAAAAUUUGAUGAAGGGCUUAAUCCUUGACCAGGCACUGGUAUAAAUCAGUGCCACCAGGGUGAAACGAACUGGCAGUCCCAAUGCAGUGCUUUACAGACAACACCCUCCAGUCCAACUGGCCCAAAAGGGGCUGUUGUCUUGGUAGACUCAGAGAAAAAAAGAUAAAAAUAAUAGAGGUGGAGGGAGCAGGGGAAAGGUCUGGGAAAUUAACUUGGAAAUGUUGAAUCACUUUAUGCUUUUCCUUCAUUUUCCCCCUUCUUGUUUUGAUUUGAGUUCUAAUUAAAAGGCUUUCCUUUGCACUUAGACAACUCAACUUUGCUUUUUAAGCAUACAUUUUUUAAGCACCACUAAAUGAAGGCAGGCAUAAGGGAAGGUGCAGGGCUGACAACUCUGCUCUGGAGACUGAAGUCCUGCAUUCACAAUUAAAGGCAAGUAGUUGGACUAUAGCUGCUUUCCUGUGUUGUCCUGGAGAAAACAAGAUGUGGACUGAGAGGACACUACCUUCCAUGACCCUGUAGAGUUUUUAGUGUUGGUGCUGUAGUUGCCAGUUAUAAUGACCAUUUUGUGUGGUGUAGGGAGGAGAAAAUGCCUUGCUAUGUACAUAAAGGGAAGAAAAGCUGGUUGUGAGUAGACUCAGCAAAAAACCUUCAGGCAUUUUUGUUUACUUGGGACCACAGUGUCUGGGCUGCUUAUAUGAGCCUCAAAGUGGUGCUUAAGAGUCCUACUUGCCAACUUAUUUAAAAACUCUAGUGCAAAAUGGAGAGAGACUCUUUACUCUGACCCAUGUUAGUUAAUUGAUUUUGACCCUGGAGUUAAAAUCCCCAAAUGAGCAUUAGAAAGAGCAUUGGUGAACAUGUCUUGAAAAUUCCAUUUUUGUCAUUGUCUGACAGUGGUGGGAGGUGCAGAUCUGCCUUAUGUUAUACAUGAAGCUAUUUUCUAACUCUCCAACAGUGUCUGUUGAUUCAGUUCCAUAAGACAUCCUGGCUCUUAGGUCUGGUGAGGGCAGAGUUUAAUCCUUCCUGCUGUCCUUAAGUCAGCUCUGAUGACUUCUUCCUCUGGCUUAAAUCCUGGCUCUGAUGGACUCACCUGAUGACUGUUUCAUUAUGUAGAGAAUGGUAGGGUCUCUAGGAGAAGAGAAGUUCUGCUCUUUGUCUUUUUGCUGUGAAACAAAUCCUUUCUGGCCCAGGCAAACGUGAAUUAUGUACACCCUGCCUUGCAUAGGCAUCCAUGUCCUAUUGUGCCAAUGCAGGAUGUUCAGCAGAGCUAAAUUUGUGCACAUCCAGGACACUAUUAACUCUUCAGGUGCUCUAUACUCUCAAUAAAUACUGUGUGACCCAUGGCUAGCA
rnacentral:lncRNA from 1 species